GAAAUAUAGGAAAACAGUUUGCAAAGAUUCUUAUACAUGCUCCGUACCAACCUCCAAAGCCAAUAACCAAAAAGCAAGUGUUUAUUUUCAAUGCAAAGGUGGCAAUGCAAUACCAAGUGACGAUAUAACUAGGAAAUAUCAUGACGGUUUUAAAUUUGCUGUAAUUGCUGGAGGAGUAGUAGGAGUGGUUCUCAUCAUAUUUUUUAUUGUUGGAGUUGUUCUAUUAAGAAGACGUUAUCAAUCACGUACUACACAGACGCCGAGUAAGAAAAACAUAAUGACAAAAUCAAAGCCGCCAUAUGAUCCUACUGAAGGGCAAUCAGAACUAGAACAUAGUCCUCAAGCUCUUUUGAUGAAUUCUUCUAACAACAUACAUCUGCCAACAUUACAUGCAGUUAAUGUGGCCAAUACGACAAAUGAAGAGUCAAACUCGUACUCACAUAUUCGGAACACUGGGGAUGAUUCUGACGUCAUGUAUGAUCAUACAGUACACCAUAAUGUCCAUAACACAUGUGAUGGUGAUUACGGCAUCACAUUUAGGAGAAUUACAGAGGAUGACUACGAUGUGUCUGGGAACUAUCGUCAGUCACUGACAAACAGAGAAGACCUUGUUUACAACUAAAUGUUAAGAGGUCCAACGAUUUUUUUAAUGAUCUUUGACUGAAAUGACUUAUUUAGAUCAAGUACACAGUAUUUGACCGGCUUAUACUGGUUUGUUUAUUGUGUAUGUAAAUUUUUAGAGUAUACUGAAAGCAAAAUCUUAAACAUAAUUUUAAAAUUGGCGAAAUUUUGCAAUUCAGGAGUAUGAAACCAAAGUAGUAUUUCCAUAUAUUAUUUCUAUGUUCAUUAUUUUUUUUUUAACUGCACGAAGAAACCGCGCCUCUAUAAUUUAGAUGUUUAUUGAAAGAAUGGCCGGAUGGAUCUAUCAAAUGAUAAGAAUGGUAUGCGUUGCUCUUCUGCAUAGCUUCAAACAUCUAGAGAUGCUAGGUUUGGCGCCGGCAUACUGUGACAAGAUGUCGUGAAAUGUCGUUCUUUGAAUUGUUUAAUUGAAUUAACGUGUUACUUUUGUGCAAAGAAGGUUUGGUUUUUAUAUGUUUAUAACAUGUAAUUGUCCUGAACAUAUUCAACCUUCUCAGCAUCUUAUUCUCAAGUCUAAAGUUUAUAUAUCUGAUAAUAAAAGUUAAGAAGUGUCUCGUACAAAAACAAAGUAAGACGGUAUUUCUAAUCUUAACUUCUAUGUUAUAUCGUACAUAACUAAAGCUUUGAUAUUCAAACUCGGGUCAGAAAGGGCAUCCAUGGCAAUAAAUGUAUUAAUUUCUUUAUUCAAAAUUGUUAUUUCUGACGAUGGUCUGGCUUUUUUGAAUACAGAGUGGCUAACUAUAAAUACUGUCGAUUUCAAUAGGACGUGUGAGCAAACUGCAAGAAAUCUGUUAACAGUUUUGUUCCUAUAUUGUUUUAAGC